rnacentral:rRNA from 1 species
UUGGGAGCUCACUAGCUUCGGAGUCAUGGGAACUCCGAAGUUAAGAGAGUUAGGGCCAGAGCAAUCCCAUGAUGGGAGACUCACUGGGAAGUUGCUCGUGAGCUCCCAGA